rnacentral:rRNA from 1 species
UGGCUUACUUGAUUUGAAGUCUGGACCGUAAAUUGAAUGCAUGAUAACUAAGUGGGCCAUUUUUGGUAAGCAGAACUGGCGCUGUGGGAUGAACCGAACGUUGAGUUACGGCGCCUGAUUAUAGACGCUCAUCAGAUACCACAAAAGGUGUUGGUUGCUAUAGACAGCAGGACGGUGGCCAUGGAAGUCGGAAUCCGCUAAGGAGUGUGUAACAACUCACCUGCCGAAGCAACUAGCCCUGAAAAUGGAUGGCGCUAGAGCGUUUAGCCUAUACUCAACCGUUGCAGCACACGCUGCGGUAGGAAACUACCGUAUUUGGUGCACUUGUGGCACAUGCGUGCUAGUCAUGCCGCAACGAGUAGGAGGGUCGCGGCGAUAUGCUUUGAAGGCUUAGCGGCGUGAGCCGGGCUGGAGCUGUCGUCGGUGCAGAUCUUGGUGGUAGUAGCAAAUACUCAAGCGAGAACCUUGAGGACUGAAGUGGAGAAGGCUUCCAUGUGAACAGCAGUUGAACAUGGGUCAGUCGAUCCUAAAGCAUCGGCGAAGGCCGUUCAGAAGCGGUGUCGGUUUUGUGGUAGUAUGCUGCUCUCGGGUGGUAUGCUACCCGGCUAUAGGUGCUUGCUCAUUUAUAGUCGCCGCACCUGCUGAAAGGGAAUUGGAUUAAUAUUUCCAAACCUAACAGCGGAGAUUGGUUGCUCAUUAGGCUGAGCGGGCCUUGUGCUCGUUUCAGUCGGGGUAACGCGCUACGGUAACGUAAACGAACUCGGACACGCUGACUGGAGUCCCGGGAAGAGUUGUCUUUUCUUCAUAAGGAGUCGACUCCAUGGAAUUGGUUCAGCCAGAGAUAUGGAGAUGGCGUCCGAAAAGCAUCACGCUUCUUGUGAUGUCCGGUGCGCUCCAAGCGGCCCUUGAAAAUCCGAGGGAGAGAAUGAUUUUCGUGUUAGAUCGUACCCAUAUCCGCAGCAGGUCUCCAAGGUUAAAAGCCUCUCGUCAA